GGUUGUGGCUCAGUGGUAGAGUGCUUGCCUAGCACAUGUGAGGCCCUGGGUUCAAUCCUCAGCACCA
rnacentral:tRNA from 1 species